UACGAAGGAUCCAAGCGUUAUCCGGAUUUAUUGGGUUUAAAGGGUGCGUAGGUGGGCAGGUAAGUCAGUGGUGAAAUCUCCGGGCUUAACUCGGAAACUGCCAUUGAUACUAUCUGUCUUGAAUACCGUGGAGGUUAGCGGAAUAUGUCAUGUAGCGGUGAAAUGCUUAGAUAUGACAUAGAACACCAAUUGCGAAGGCAGCUGGCUACACGAAUAUUGACACUGAUGCACGAAAGCGUGGGGAUCAAACAGG
rnacentral:rRNA from 1 species